AAAACCGAACAAGGGGAAGGGAGAGGACAAUGAUUCCGGGAAGCUCUGCUGGGGACUGGUGGUAAGUGGAGGGUGUGUGCGUGAGUGGCAGAGGGUGAAGGAGAGUGAGCUGGUUGUUGGGCUGAGUGGUAGUGGGUGGAUGAGAAGGAAGCUGUCUCCCAGCUUCGACACAGGGUUGUGCACACAAGAGGCCACAUGCCACACCAUAUACCAUGCACACCACCUCACACACGCACACUGAAUCACACACACCAUAUACACACCCCUUACCCCAUGCCACACACAUACAACAUCACACGCACACAUCAUGCACAUAAUCACACACCACGCACAUACACACCACACACACUACACUGCACAUUAUACACACACCACCACCAAGGCAUACACACACACAGGCACAUGCC
rnacentral:lncRNA from 10 species